rnacentral:rRNA from 1 species
UGGGGGAUAUUGCACAAUGGGCGAAAGCCUGAUGCAGCGACGCCGCGUGGGGGAUGAAGGCUUUCGGGCUGUAAACCUCUUUCGCUAUCGAACAAGGCCCGCUUAGGGUGGGUUGAGGGUAGGUGGAGAAGAAGCGCCGGCUAACUACGUGCCAGCAGCCGCGGUAAUACGUAGGGCGCGAGCGUUGUCCGGAAUUAUUGGGCGUAAAGGGCUUGUAGGCGGCUUGUUGCGCCUGCUGUGAAAACGCGGGGCUUAACUUCGCGCGUGCAGUGGGUACGGGCAGGCUUGAGUGUGGUAGGGGUGACUGGAAUUCCAGGUGUAGCGGUGGAAUGCGCAGAUAUCUGGAGGAACACCGAUGGCGAAGGCAGGUCACUGGGCCAUUACUGACGCUGAGGAGCGAAAGCAUGGGUAGCGAACAGG